rnacentral:rRNA from 1 species
GAUGAACGCUGGCGGCGUGCCUAAUACAUGCAAGUCGAACGCAUUGUGGUUGAAAUGAUAUGAAGAACUUGUUCAGAUUUGAUUUUCAACAUUGCAAUGAGUGGCGAACGGGUGAGUAACACGUGGGAAACCUACCUCUUAGCAGGGGAUAACAUUUGGAAACAAAUGCUAAUACCGUAUAAUAAUUAAAACCGCAUGGUUUUAGUUUAAAAGAUGGUCUUGCUAUCACUAAGAGAUGGUCCCGCGGUGUAUUAGUUAGUUGGUGAGGUAAUGGCUCACCAAGACAAUGAUACAUAGCCGAGUUGAGAGACUGACCGGCCACAAUGGGACUGAGACACGGCCCAUACUCCUACGGGAGGCAGCAGUAGGGAAUCUUCCACAAUGGACGAGAGUCUGAUGGAGCAACGCCGCGUGUGUGAUGAAGGGUUUCGGCUCGUAAAACACUGUUGUAAGAGAAGAAUGGACAUUGAGAGUAACUGUUCAAUGUGUGACGGUAUC